rnacentral:rRNA from 1 species
GACGAACGCUGGCGGCGUGCUUAACACAUGCAAGUCGAACGGAAAGGCCCUGCUUUCGUGGGGUGAUCGAGUGGCGAACGGGGGAGUAAGACGUGAGUAACCUGCCCUUCAUUUUGGGAUAACUUCAGGAAGCGGGGGUUAAUACCAUACAGGAGACGCCCCAGCAUGGAGGGGGUUGGAAAGUCUCGGCGGUCGGGGAUGGAGUCGCGGCUUAUGAGCUUGCUGGUGGGGUAGUGGCUUACCAAGGCUUUGACGGGUAGCCGGCCGGGGAGGGUGAACGGCGACAUUGGGACUGAGGUACGGAGCAGAGUCGAACAGGAGACAGCGGUGGGGAAUAUUGCACAAUGGGCCGAAGCCUGAUGCAGCAGCGCCGGGUGCGGGAUGACGGCCUUCGGGUUAUAAACCGCUUUCGCCUGUGACGAAGCGUGAGUGACGGUACUGGGUGAAGAAGCACCGGCUAACUACGUG